rnacentral:rRNA from 1 species
AUUGAACGCUGGCGGCAGGCCUAACACAUGCAAGUCGAACGGCAGCACAGAAGAGCUUGCUCUUUGGGUGGCGAGUGGCGGACGGGUGAGUAAUGUCUGGGAAACUGCCCGAUGGAGGGGGAUAACUACUGGAAACGGUAGCUAAUACCGCAUAACGUCGCAAGACCAAAGUGGGGGACCUUCGGGCCUCACACCAUCGGAUGUGCCCAGAUGGGAUUAGCUAGUAGGUGGGGUAAUGGCUCACCUAGGCGACGAUCCCUAGCUGGGCUGAGAGGAUGACCAGCCAGACUGGAACUGAGACACGGUCCAGACUCCUACGGGAGGCAGCAGUGGGGAAUAUUGCACAAUGGGCGCAAGCCUGAUGCAGCCAUGCCGCGUGUAUGAAGAAGGCCUUCGGGUUGUAAAGUACUUUCAGCGGGGAGGAAGGCGGUGAGGUUAAUAACCUCGCCGAUUGACGUUACCCGCAGAAGAAGCACCGGCUAACUCCGUGCCAGCAGCCGCCGUAA